GUGAAAAUCAAUAAUCAGUGAGAAAUGCUAAGCAACCAUUUUAGCAACAAUGUUUACAUUUUUUAAUGUGUCAGUUGCCUUUUUGAGGAAAAGAUUUUUCUAAAGAUUUCUUUUAGAAAAAUUACAUUUAGAAAUAUUGUGAAGAUCUCGGACCCAUACAAGUGUUUGGCGGAGGUCCAGUUUGGUGGCGCCAACGCGUCAGCCGGGGAAGCCGAUAAGACCACAGAUACAACUGUUGAGUUUGGGAGAUUGUCUGUCCUGAAUCUCUGACUGUGUGACUGGAUACAUGGGAAGGACCUCAGCCAGGUCCAGAUGUUAAAUAAGGCCCUUCCAGUUUAUGAAUCUGCUGUCCUGUACCGGGGAGUCUAUGGAUAACGAGGAACUGAUCAUAAUACUGAGAGCCUUCCCCGUCAUCGAUGGUUACAGCCCUGAAGAAAGAAUUUGUUCAAGACAAAACGAGUUCUAGCUAGAGGAACAUGAAAUAAAAGAUUUAUUCAACAAAAA